GCCUUUGUGGCGGAGUGGUCAGCACGCUCGACGCGUAACCGAGAAAUCCAGAGGUCUGUGGUUCGAUUCCCGGCGAAGGCG
rnacentral:tRNA from 1 species